ACUCCUACGGGAGGCAGCAGUGGGGAAUCUUGGACAAUGGGCGCAAGCCUGAUCCAGCCAUGCCGCGUGAGUGAUGAAGGCCCUAGGGUCGUAAAGCUCUUUCGCCAGGGAUGAUAAUGACAGUACCUGGUAAAGAAACCCCGGCUAACUCCGUGCCAGCAGCCGCGGUAAUACGGAGGGGGUUAGCGUUGUUCGGAAUUACUGGGCGUAAAGCGCGCGUAGGCGGACUGGAAAGUUGGGGGUGAAAUCCCGGGGCUCAACCCCGGAACUGCCUCCAAAACUCCCAGUCUUGAGUUCGAGAGAGGUGAGUGGAAUUCCGAGUGUAGAGGUGAAAUUCGUAGAUAUUCGGAGGAACACCAGUGGCGAAGGCGGCUCACUGGCUCGAUACUGACGCUGAGGUGCGAAAGUGUGGGGAGCAAACAGGAUUAGAUACCCUGGUAGGAUAGCG
rnacentral:rRNA from 1 species